rnacentral:rRNA from 1 species
UACGUAGGCAGCGAGCGUUGUUCGGAGUUACUGGGCGUAAAGAGUGCGUAGGCGGUGUUCCAAGUCUGUUGUGAAAUCUCCCGGCUUAACUGGGAGGGUGCGGCGGAAACUGGGACGCUGGAGUACGGGAGAGGUAAGCGGAAUUCCUGGUGUAGCGGUGAAAUGCGUAGAUAUCAGGAGGAACACCUGCGGUGUAGACGGCUUACUGGACCGUAACUGACGCUGAGGAACGAAAGCGUGGGUAGCAAACAGG